AACAAACUAAAACCGAGGGAAACGCAUUAAAUAUAAGAGGAGAACAACGACACAACACUGAAAUGUAACACACACAGAAAUGGACCAAGCAUCAGACAAAAUCCCACGGGAAUGACAAAUAUAGAAUUAAAACCAAAUACAUGAAUUUGGGAUAGACAAGUACCGUGACACGUCUUAUCGCAAUGUGAAUUUACACUAAAAAAUAAGAGAAAACAAACGACGCAACGUUAAAAUGUAACACACACA
rnacentral:lncRNA from 1 species